UGCCCUCACAUCUUGAGCUGUUGGAAGGGA
rnacentral:piRNA from 1 species